GUGUCAGCAGCCGCGGUAAUACGUAGGGGGCAAGCGUUAUCCGGAAUCAUUGGGCGUAAAGCGCGUGUAGGCGGUUCCGUAAGUCCGCUCUGAAAGCCCAGGGCUCAACCCUGGGAGGCGGGUGGAUACUACGGAACUGGAGUACGGAAGAGGAGAUUGGAAUUCCUGGUGUAGCGGUGAAAUGCGCAGAUAUCAGGAGGAACACCAACAGCGAAGGCAGAUCUCUGGGACGUUACUGACGCUGAGACGCGAAAGCGUGGGGAGCAAACAGGAUUAGAAACCCCUGUAGUCC
rnacentral:rRNA from 1 species